rnacentral:rRNA from 1 species
UACGGAGGGUGCGAGCGUUGUCCGGAAUUACUGGGCGUAAAGCGCACGUAGGUGGCUUUGCAAGUCGAUUGUGAAAUCCCCGGGCUUAACCUGGGAACUGCAGUCGAGACUGCAUUGCUCGAGUAUGGUAGGGGCAGAGGGAAUUCCUGGUGUAGCGGUGAAAUGCGUAGAGAUCAGGAAGAACAUCGGUGGCGAAGGCGCUCUGCUGGACCAUAACUGACACUCAGGGACGAAAGCUAGGGGAGCGAAUGGG